GUCUCCGGCGUGGCCAGCUCAGCGUGAGGGACUGGAAGUUCUUGUACAAGUCGUUGUUCAAUGCUAUCCUCAUAGGGGAGAUCUGCCAGGCCCAGGACCAGGACAUCCCCAUCUUCAAAGAGACCGGGGAGGCGCUGACGGAGGGCCUGUACCGCGCCACCUUCCUCAUCCAGCGCAUUAUGGACAUUGACCAGUCAGAAAGGGAAGGACGGUUUGUGGUGAAGCCCGG